rnacentral:lncRNA from 1 species
AUAGCCACAACCCAACAUCUUCUCAGAUACUGCAUCGUAAAAAAAUACACAGCCAAUUGAAAAUAAGUUAUGGUGUAACUCAAAAGGUACUCAAACAAGUUAACCAGCAUCAAAAUAUCAAUUAGCCAAGGACAAACAUUUCUUAACUUUUGCUUGGUAAUAUGCCUCAAAUUAACACAACAAAACCACUCUACACUAACUUUGGAGAAUUCUAAUUGUUUCGGGAGCUUUCCUAUGUAGUUCACUGUGUAAUUGAUAAUACCUCAUAGUUAAGGAAGAUAAAAAAAGAUCACACAACAAAACAAAAGGAUUGAACCCAAAUGCUUCCAUAUAAUAAUUCCCUUAUAAAACAAUGUGGAAAUACGUGAAGAAAAUCAGUAGUAACUGUUAAUAUUGUGGCUGAAAAAUAGAUAACUUUCUAGAUUUGAUCCUUCUUUUUUUUUUUUUUUUUUUUUUUUUUUUUUUUUUUUUUAAAUAAGAUUGAGGUCACCAUCAGCCAUUAAAUUAAUAAAAACCCAGUAAAUUCGAAAAAUCCAUGUCUUAGCAUGCAAACAAAAAAUCCUUUCCCAAUUGAAAAGUCGAUGAAUUUGUGAAAAUUGUGCUGACCCAGAAUUCAAAACACACCAAAUAACGUCCACUGCAUUCGAAAAGUCGCAGAUUCCCAGAAUAAGGGAAAAGAAAUCCAAACUCAAUAAAAAUCUUUGUGAACAGCGAGAGCCCUACAAAAUACAUGUAUGUAAUAUAUAUACACUUUUACAUAUGUACAUAUACAUUAUAAAUUAUAUAGGUACAUUUUUCUCUGCGUGUGCGCAAAUAAAGACAGAUUAUAAAGAAAUGAUUUGGAGAGAGAAAAAGAGCGAUAUGGAUUUCAAAAGCCGAGGUGUAUGGAAUUUGUUUUGCUUCAACUUACGUAGAGAAAGGCUGACAAUCGAUCCCCAGCCACAAGAUUAGAUGAUGAAACAAUCUCAACCGCCAGAUCAGACACAGAUAUACAGAGAGAAAGAGAGAGAGCUAUCAGUUAUCUAAGAAGAAGAAGAAAGAAGAGGGUAAUAAUAGCUGAAAGCCUGAAACUAAAAGAUAACUCUCACUCUCUAUCUCUCUGUGAAUAUACAGGUGUCUAUACAAGUUAGGGUUUUAUCAUUUAUGCUCAUAUAUAAAUGUGAAUUUGACCAAAAAAGCGAGGGAAAGAAAGAGAAAGGUCUGCUUUUUUUGGGCUGCUCUCUCUCUCCGUGGCAGCACGGCAGCAGCGGCAAAAAGGCCGUGAUGUGUAAAAUGGUACGGUGGUCAAAGGAAGAGAGCUUGAAGAUUUGGGGGUUUUAAGAUUAUUUAAGAAUUUGGAUUCAUGAUCCUUUUUGCUAAACAACAUUGUGUUAAAUAGCAUUACAACAAAUUCUCUCCGUGUCUAAAGCAGUAAAGCAUUAUCCAUAAAGACCAGCCAAAGUAAAGGCUAGUAAGCAAAGUAGCAUAACGAGCAUCGUUAUCACCUUGUAAGGCCCCAAAUAAGUUUGUCACUACGAACUUCAAGUCCAAUAACAAUAAUUUCAUGGUAUAUAAUCUACGUUCUAUGGAAAAAAGAAAAAAAUAACUGCAGAAUCUAGUCAUUCGAAAGGACCAUAGCCACAACCCAACAUCUUCUCAGAUACUGCAUCGUAAAAAAAUACACAGCCAAUUGAAAAUAAGUUAUGGUGUAACUCAAAAGGUACUCAAACAAGUUAACCAGCAUCAAAAUAUCAAUUAGCCAAGGACAAACAUUUCUUAACUUUUGCUUGGUAAUAUGCCUCAAAUUAACACAACAAAACCACUCUACACUAACUUUGGAGAAUUCUAAUUGUUUCGGGAGCUUUCCUAUGUAGUUCACUGUGUAAUUGAUAAUACCUCAUAGUUAAGGAAGAUAAAAAAAGAUCACACAACAAAACAAAAGGAUUGAACCCAAAUGCUUCCAUAUAAUAAUUCCCUUAUAAAACAAUGUGGAAAUACGUGAAGAAAAUCAGUAGUAACUGUUAAUAUUGUGGCUGAAAAAUAGAUAACUUUCUAGAUUUGAUCCUUCUUUUUUUUUUUUUUUUUUUUUUUUUUUUUUUUUAGAAAAA